GAGGAAUAUUGGUCAAUGGGCGAGAGCCUGAACCAGCCAAGUCGCGUGAAGGAAGACUGCCUUAUGGGUUGUAAACUUCUUUUAUACAGGAAUAAAAAGGCUUACGUGUAGGCCAUUGCAAGUACUGUAUGAAUAAGCAUCGGCUAACUCCGUGCCAGCAGCCGCGGUAAUACGGAGGAUGCGAGCGUUAUCCGGAUUUAUUGGGUUUAAAGGGUGCGCAGGCGGGCUUUUAAGUCAGCGGUGAAAUCUCGGGGCUUAACUCCGAAACUGCCGUUGAAACUGGGAGUCUUGAGUAUGGAUGAAGUAGGCGGAAUUCGUUGUGUAGCGGUGACAUGCUUAGAUAUAACGAGGAACUCCGAUUGCGAAGGCAGCGCACCGGCGCCCUACUGACGCUCAGGCACGAAAGCGUGGGGAGCAAACA
rnacentral:rRNA from 1 species